GGGCCUGUGGCGCAAUUGGCAGCGCGUCUGGCUGGCAGUCAGAAGGUUACGGGUUUCCGCCAAAGGCGGACAAACGACCCCGGUCAGGUCCG
rnacentral:tRNA from 1 species